rnacentral:rRNA from 1 species
AACAAGGUCUCCGUUGGUGAACCAGCGGAGGGAUCAUUAUCGAGUUAUUCAACUCCCAAACCCUAUGUGAACUCGCCACUUGUUGCUUCGGCGCGCGCUUCGGCGCCGCCGAGGACACUUAAACUCUUUGUUUUUAUAAGCAUUUCUGAGUGGCCGAAAGGCAAAAAUACAAAUGAAUCAAAACUUUCAACAACGGAUCUCUUGGUUCUGGCAUCGAUGAAGAACGCAGCGAAAUGCGAUAAGUAAUGUGAAUUGCAGAAUUCAGUGAAUCAUCGAAUCUUUGAACGCACAUUGCGCCCGCCAGCAUUCUGGCGGGCAUGCCUGUUCGAGCGUCAUUUCAACCCUCGAGCCCGACUCUUUUGAGGACGGCUCGGCGUUGGGGGACGGCAGACUCCCCCCGGCAUCUCGCCGGGGACGCCGCCCCCGAAAUCUAGUGGCGGCCCUCCGAGGCGACCUCUGCGUAGUAACUUGUUCUCGCACCGGAAAGCUCAGAGCGGCCACGCCGUAAAACCCCAACUUUUUUCAGGUUGACCUCGAAUCAGGUAGGACUGCCCGCUGAACUUAAGCAUAUCAAUAAGCGGAGGAA